UCAAAAUCAAUUCACAAAACAAUAAACCCCGUUAUGGAUGAAUUUUAAAAUACAUAAACCGUUACCAGUAAUCCUUUUAUUGCCAUGUUAAGUUAUUAAACAAAAUGGGUUUACUUCGUAUAAUAAUUAUAGUUUAUAUGCUGUUAUAUAUAGUUUUAUACUUUGGGUUAGUUGGAGGACUGUUAUAUCUUCGUGCUGUUGUCAUCCAUAACUAUAGCGGCGAUGUACCAUACAGUACUGGAUAAAAUAAGAAGUCAAUUUUAGAAAAAAAACUUUAUUCAUACACAAAAAUAUAAAAGGCACUAAAAUGGACGGUUUAAGUCUUUUAAUAUAAGUAAUCUUUACUAAUGGAAUUAAAAAUAAACCUAACGUCAUAUAAAAGGAUUACAAAUAUAACGCCGUGUACACACUUAUGCUACAAGUAAAAAGUCGUAAAAAACAUAUAUUAACGUUAGUAAUACAUGAAGAAUCAUUUUAUUGCCUUGCCACAGAAAUAAAUUUGAACUUUAUACACAGAGUGCUUUACUUAGUGUGAACACGGCUUAACUUUUCACAUUUCCUUAUCAAAUUAAAUUAUACUAAACAAAA